rnacentral:rRNA from 1 species
GAUGAACGCUAGCUACAGGCUUAACACAUGCAAGUCGAGGGGCAGCAUGAUUGAAGCUUGCUUCAAUCGAUGGCGACCGGCGCACGGGUGAGUAACACGUAUCCAACCUGCCGAUAACUCGGGGAUAGCCUUUCGAAAGAAAGAUUAAUACCCGAUAGUAUAGUAUUUCCGCAUGGUUUCACUAUUAAAGAACUUCGGUUAUCGAUGGGGAUGCGUUCCAUUAGAUAGUUGGCGGGGUAACGGCCCACCAAGUCAACGAUGGAUAGGGGUUCUGAGAGGAAGGUCCCCCACAUUGGAACUGAGACACGGUCCAAACUCCUACGGGAGGCAGCAGUGAGGAAUAUUGGUAAAUGGACGAGAGUCUGAACCAGCCAAGUAGCGUGAAGGAUGACUGCCCUAUGGGUUGUAAACUUCUUUUAUACGGGAAUAAAGUGGAGUAUGCAUACUCCUUUGUAUGUACCGUAUGAAUAAGGAUCGGCUAACUCCGUG